rnacentral:rRNA from 1 species
UACGUAGGGUGCAAGCGUUAAUCGGAAUUACUGGGCGUAAAGCGCACGCAGGCGGUCAAUUAAGUCAGAUGUGAAAGCCCCGAGCUUAACUUGGGAAUAGCAUUUCAGACUGGGAGUCUAGAGUACUUUAGGGAGGGGUAGAAUUCCACGUGUAGCGGUGAAAUGCGUAGAGAUGUGGAGGAAUACCGGUGGCGAAGGCGGCCCCCUGGACAAAGACUGACGCUCAGGUGCGAAAGCGUGGGGAGCAAACAGG